AACGAACGCUGGCGGCAUGCCUAACACAUGCAAGUCGAACGAGACCUUCGGGUCUAGUGGCGCACGGGUGCGUAACGCGUGGGAACCUGCCCUUAGGUUCGGAAUAACUCCCCGACAGGGGUGCCAAUACCGGAUAAUGUCUUCGGACCAAAGAUUUAUCGCCUUUGGAUGGGCCCGCGUUGGAUUAGCUAGUUGGUAGGGUAAAAGCCUACCAAGGCGACGAUCCAUAGCUGGUCUGAGAGGAUGAUCAGCCACACUGGGACUGAGACACGGCCCAGACUCCUACGGGAGGCAGCAGUGGGGAAUAUUGGACAAUGGGCGAAAGCCUGAUCCAGCAAUGCCGCGUAAGUGAUGAAGGCCUUAGGGUUGUAAAGCUCUUUUACCCGGGAUGAUAAUGACAGUACCGGGAGAAUAAGCUCCGGCUAACUCCGUG
rnacentral:rRNA from 1 species